rnacentral:lncRNA from 1 species
CAUAAAGCCAAAAUCUCACCAGUUUGACUGAAUAGGUAGUGACCAAUAUAAUGAUGGUCCUAUGCAUUCUAACAGGCAUGAUAUCAAGUGCACAGGAGCUGUCUUGAUAUUAUACGCUUAGGAAGCAGCAUAUAGGAAGCAGACACAGAUACUUCUGCUCAGAGCUUCACCAAAGGGUCCAACUUCCUUUGCUUUAGAAUAUUGAACGUUUUACCUGGGAAAAACAUGGCAUCCAUCUGAUUCAGAUGUAAUGAAAUACAUAAGAGUAGGAGAGUGUAUCGGUUGUUUCAGAGGGUUUAGCUAAUAGAAUUAUCAGGGCAGAUGCGAACCUGAUGGCAAUUCAGGGAUUUUGGGCAGAAGCGAACCUGACAGCAAUUCAGGGAUUUUGGGCUGCACAGCAGGGAACCUGACGACAUUGUGACGACAUUGCCGCACUCUCCUAGACAGGGAACCUACAAAGAAUUUUUUUUGUACACCGCGGGCGACGUAGAAAACA